rnacentral:SRP_RNA from 1 species
GCCGGGCGUGGUGGUGCGCGCCUGUAAUCCCUGCCACUUGGGAGGCUGAGGCAGGAGAAUUGCUUGAACCCGGGAGGCAGAGGUUGCAGUGAGCUGAGAUUGUGCCACUGCACUCUAACCUGGGCAACAGAGCAAGACUCUGUCUCAA